rnacentral:rRNA from 1 species
UACAGAGGUGGCAAGCGUUGUUCGGAAUUACUGGGCGUAAAGGGCGCGUAGGCGGCCAUCUAAGUCAGACGUGAAAUCCCCCGGCUUAACCUGGGAACUGCGUCUGAUACUGGACGGCUUGAGUGUGGCAGAGGGGGGUGGAAUUCCACGUGUAGCAGUGAAAUGCGUAGAGAUGUGGAGGAACACCGAUGGCGAAGGCAGCCCCCUGGGCUAACACUGACGCUCAUGCACGAAAGCGUGGGGAGCAAACAGG